UCCCUGAUAGCUCAGUUGGUAAAGAAUCCACCUGCAAUGCAGGAGACCCUGGUUCGAUUCCAGGUUGGGAAG
rnacentral:tRNA from 1 species